rnacentral:sRNA from 1 species
CUUUAAAAAAAUUGUAGCGGAUGUGUACCGUGACUUGUAUUUAUGACUGUAAAACCAUGUGAUGCAGGGUCGCAGUGUAUGUUUGAUGGGACGCCAUCUUUCAGAACUGUGCUAACUCACUGUUGAAGCGUCCAAUGGUAAGAGAAAAUACAGAUUUGUUUUUUGUGACAAAUGGACAUUGUACUCUGUACUUCUGCUGUAAGUAGUCCUUUUCCAUCUUUGUAAUGACUGGUAACAAAACCCAGGCCGGGUGGCAGGAAAGGGCAGUGGUUUCGAGCCCUGGGUUUUGGAGUCAGCCAGACCUGGGUUCAAAUAUGGCUCAGCCACGGUCUUGUUUUGUGACUUUGGGCCAAAGUGUCUUUUAACUGCUCAGUUAAAAGUUAACGACUCAGUCUUCUUAUCUGUAAAAUGGGGCUGAAAUAUCAGAACCUACCUCAUAGGGUUGUUGUGAGGAAUUUGAGAAGCUGUGAUGUCUGUAAAGCGGCUAGCCCAGUGCCUGCCACUUAAGCGCUAAGUUAAAGGCAGUGAUUACGAACUGCUGGGGUCGGGGUGGAUCUGCGCCAUUGCUGGGUGUGGGAAUGUCGAUGCCUUGUACAUGAUUGCUUCUUUGAACUGAUUCUGCUGUUGCCCUGCUUGUCAGCUACAGUCAGUCCCUCUUGGGCUGGCGGGACUGGGAGGGAGGGGGGACUGGGAUUAAGAAAGAAGGGAUCUAACAGAGACAGUCUGGAGCUCCUAGAACCUUGGGGGCUUUGGGGGUCAAGCUUGCUUGCUUCCCUCCGGGGUUAUUUUCCUCUUAAUCUACUCUCCCUUCAUUGGGAGUCACUUUAGAAAGCUGCUUUUGGCCCGCCAUAAUAUAUCAGCUUCUGUAGCAGCUGCACAUUCCCCAGAGGGCCUGGGAGCUGGGCUUUCUCCCAGGGCCAGGGUAGGUGAGAGCACAGAACCUGGCCUUGUCCUUCACAGAACAAGACCAGCCCUUUGGUAUGAGCAGGGGAAGGAGAGUGGGCACCAGCUUUGAGGCUCGGGCUUCAUGCCUGCCGUAGGUCAGAUCACAAAAGGAGGCCCCACAGCCCUCGAGGAAGGGAGGGCUUGCAGUUUGCAGGAGCUGGGGGCUCAGAUCAGCCUGUGCAGUCAGGAGGGAGGGAGAGACCCUAAUUUCUGAGUGAGACUCCUAACUGUGUUCUCUCUCCACAGGUGACCCUGGCAGCAACCCCAACAAACGCCAGAGGCAGCCCCCUCUCCUGGGAGAUCACCCCGCAGAAUAUGGAGGGCCCCACGGUGGGUACCACAGCCAUUACCAUGAUGAGGGCUACGGGCCCCCCCCACCUCACUACGAAGGGAGAAGGAUGGGUCCACCAGUGGGGGGUCACCGUCGGGGCCCAAGUCGCUACGGCCCCCAGUAUGGGCACCCCCCACCCCCUCCCCCACCACCCGAGUAUGGCCCUCACGCCGACAGCCCUGUGCUCAUGGUCUAUGGCUUGGAUCAAUCUAAGAUGAACUGUGACCGAGUCUUCAAUGUCUUCUGCUUAUAUGGCAAUGUGGAGAAGGUGAAAUUCAUGAAAAGCAAGCCGGGGGCCGCCAUGGUGGAGAUGGCUGAUGGCUACGCUGUAGACCGGGCCAUUACCCACCUCAACAACAACUUCAUGUUUGGGCAGAAGCUGAAUGUCUGUGUCUCCAAGCAGCCAGCCAUCAUGCCCGGUCAGUCAUACGGGUUGGAAGACGGGUCUUGCAGUUACAAAGACUUCAGUGAAUCCCGGAACAAUCGGUUCUCCACCCCAGAGCAGGCAGCCAAGAACCGCAUCCAGCACCCCAGCAAUGUGCUGCACUUCUUCAACGCCCCGCUGGAGGUGACCGAGGAGAACUUCUUUGAGAUCUGCGAUGAGCUGGGAGUGAAGCGGCCAUCUUCUGUGAAAGUAUUCUCAGGCAAAAGUGAGCGCAGCUCCUCUGGACUGCUGGAGUGGGAAUCCAAGAGCGAUGCCCUGGAGACUCUGGGCUUCCUGAACCAUUACCAGAUGAAAAACCCAAAUGGUCCAUACCCUUACACUCUGAAGUUGUGUUUCUCCACUGCUCAGCACGCCUCCUAAUUAGGUGCCUAGGAAGAGUCCCAUCUGAGCAGGAAGACAUUUCUCUUUCCUUUAUGCCAUUUUUUGUUUUUGUUAUUUGCAAAAGAUCUUGUAUUCCUUUUUUUUUUUUUUUUUUUUAAAUGCUAGGUUUGUAGAGGCUUAACCUUAAUGGAAACGCUGGAAGUCUGCAGGGGGAGGGAGAGGGGAACUGGUAUCUCCCAAGAUUAACCUUCACUUUUAAAAAAUUAUUGUACAUGUGAUUUUUUUUUUCCUGUUCAUACAUUUGUGCUGCCCAUGUACUCUUGGCACAUUUCAAUAAAAUUGUUUGGAAAAU